CUGACGGAAUAAAUUUUAAAAAAAUACUUCAAGCUUAUGGGGACGUACCAUGUGGCAGUGUAUUGGUCCGCAAAAUGCCAUCCGAAUUGAUUUUUGAGGUUAGAAAAGUGUGCCUUUUAUGAUUUAGGGAAUAGCCGUACCAUCGAAGCUGGUGAUUGGAGAUUAAUGGAGGCACUCGCACCUAUAAGAGGGAAUUGAUGGCUAGCAAAAGCUUCACCUUCUAUC
rnacentral:lncRNA from 1 species